UACGUAGGGUGCAAGCGUUGUCCGGAAUUAUUGGGCGUAAAGAGCUCGUAAGCGGUUUGUCGCGUCUGCUGUGAAAACUCGGGGCUUAACUCCGGGCCUGCAGUGGGUACGGGCAGACUAGAGUGCGGUAGGGGAGACUGGAAUUCCUGGUGUAGCGGUGAAAUGCGCAGAUAUCAGGAGGAACACCGGUGGCGAAGGCGGGUCUCUGGGCCGUAACUGACGCUGAGGAGCGAAAGCGUGGGGAGCGAACAGG
rnacentral:rRNA from 1 species